CAUCUGGCCCAGACCCGCCGUGGUGUCGAUGUCGCAGCACUGGAACCGGGACACGCACACUGCAGGCGACAGGAAACGCAUCAGGACGACAUGAAACUCAGAGCCAGGAUCAGGAGAGACUGAUGGCUGAGUGGUGCUGAGAGGCCCGCGGGCCGGGAGGAUGAUGGAGUCGGAGCUGACAGGAAGGACGCUCAGAGAGUGAGAGGAUGAGGCUGGAAAACCCGACAAGGCGACGCGCGAAGAAGAGAACGGACAUGAGAUCAGGAGCGACAGCUGCUGGAGGACGGAGCCCUGAGGGACGCCGCCCUGAUCGUCCUCCAUCAUCAGAGCAGCAGAACCUUCUCUGGUGUCGGAUCAGAACCAGAACACGUCCCGCCUCUCUCUCUGCUGGGUCGCGUGGUUCCAUCGAUCGGAUCCAGAGUCAACACCGUUAAUUCAUUCUGUCAAUAAAGAUGUUUGUGGGUAAAUAACCGUCCACUUGGCUGUUUGGUUCUGACCCGAUUCUACAGACCCAACAGCACCAGGACAAACCUGGGUUCAUUCAGCACGAAACACAUCAGAACCAGAACCGAACAGAAAAAUGUCAGACCUCAGUUGAGGUCAAAGGUCAUGAUCAAACCAUCAGAAAAACUCCAUGAACCAGAACCACUGCUGACUCGAAGAACACAAAGACGGGCCUUCAUGAAGAAUCUGAGCCCAGUUUCAACUAACAGAACACAAUGAAACAUGGUGGUGGCAGCAUGAUGCUGUGGGACU